GCAACCACAUUUUCAAAAAGCUUUUAUCUAUCAUAGUUGUCCCUCCCACUAAGCUUUGUGCCUCACACUCCUGCACCUACACUGACCAUGUGGACUAUGUCGGACCUUGCGAAGUUGAUCACGACGCUGAGCAUGGCAAAGCCGAGCUGCAUCGAGAAGAUCAGAGACGUAUUUGUCAGUCGAGUGGGAAGACGAAAAGUCAAAAAAAUAUUAUGAUAAAAAUUCCUUAUGGUGACAAUCCACGUUGACAAUCAUUUCAGUAACAAAUUUGUCCCUCCGUGCCACGUAGGCUAUUUUAUUAUUGGUAACGCACGAAAGUUAACGGCAGAACAUAUUUGUCAUACUUUUUACGCUUUCAUGGACUAAAUUUUGUAUUUUAAUCUUUUAUAGACGCAUUUGUCAGCGAAUUACACAUUGAUGGACAAAAGUGACUAUUUAUCUUAAAAAAUAUUUAUCUUAAAA